rnacentral:tRNA from 1 species
AUUUAUAUAGUUUAAAAUUAAAACUUUAUAUUUUCAAUGUAAAGAUAAAUAAAUUAUUUUAUAAAUU